rnacentral:rRNA from 1 species
AUGAAAUUUUCAUAUACGACUCUUAGAGGGGGACUCGGGUUAGUUACCUAUCUCAAUAAAGUAUAUGAUUGGUUUGAGGAACGUCUUGAGAUUCAGGCAAUUGCAGAUGAUAUAACUAGUAAAUAUGUUCCUCCCCAUGUCAACAUAUUUUAUUGUUUAGGGGGAAUUACACUUACUUGUUUUCUAGUACAAGUCGCUACCGGUUUUGCUAUGACUUUUUACUACCGACCAACCGUUACAGAGGCUUUUUCCUCGGUUCAAUACAUAAUGACCGAGGCCAACUUUGGUUGGUUAAUCCGAUCAGUUCAUCGAUGGUCAGCAAGUAUGAUGGUUUUAAUGAUGAUCCUGCAUGUAUUUCGUGUGUAUCUCACAGGGGGAUUUAAAAAAACCCGUGAAUUAACUUGGGUCACAGGUGUGGUUUUGGCUGUUUUGACUGCAUCAUUUGGUGUAACUGGUUAUUCUUUGCCUUGGGAUCAAAUUGGCUAUUGGGCAGUCAAAAUUGUGACAGGUGUACCUGACGCCAUUCCGGUAAUAGGAUCGCCUUUAGUGGAGUUAUUACGCGGAAGUGCUAGUGUGGGCCAAUCCACUUUGACUUGUUUUUAUAGUUUACAUACCUUUGUACUGCCUCUGCUUACUGCCGUAUUUAUGUUAAUGCACUUUCCAAUGAUACGUAAGCAAGGUAUUUCGGGUCCUUUAUAG